rnacentral:misc_RNA from 1 species
UGAACGGCUCUGAGUGCAUCCUCGCGGAAACAACAGCAAGAGGUGCGCGCGUAUGUUGUAUGUGGCCACGGAAGGCAGUCGGUGGAAAUUAAAGCAAUACGACGCGCGCGACGUGACUGCAGUUCCUUCAAGAAAAGUUGCCCCCCCCCCCCUUCCCCAACAGAGACCAGCGUGGGUCUCGUGGCUUUGUCGUGGUGCGCAUGUGAAGAGCAACAGUGGCCACCACCUCACGUGUUUCCUGCCUUCGGCAUCUCAUACGCACCCAGCGCAUUCAACCAUUCCAUACGCACACGUAAGCACGAUCAAUCAUCUCUCUCUACUUCUGCCUCUCGCACAUGCCAUCUCGCGUGACGAUCCGCUGCUUGGCGGCCUACACCGGUGAUGCCGAGGAGGCCGGCGGCGGACUCGUGCCGCUGUUUGUAGGUCGAGAGGACGGCACAGUGGAGCGCUAUGACGACAUGAAGGAUGCCGAGCUCGGGAUUCCGACGGUGUCUUUCUACGCUCAUCGCAGGGCGGUCACAGCCAUCAUAGCUGUCUCAGCCGCUGAGCUGUGCACAUGCUCCUUGGACGGCACCGUGAAGUGGUGGACGCUGGAGGAGGUCGAGGACGCUGCGUCGUCGCCGUCCACCGGCAGGUUUAGGGUGCGGGCGACGCUUGUGAAGACGAGCACUUUACCCUUCGCAGUGCGUACCAUGAUCCAGGAUGGCGGCGAAAGCGCUGCAGCCGGCCAACAGCGGCUUUUCCUCGGCGGCGAGAACGGCUCUCUCACGUUGAUGGAGGGCGAUCGCCGGUCCAGCUGGCCGGCGCACAACGGUGGCGCCCUGACGGCGAUUGCAGUGGACUGGAAUAACAGCGGCACCGUCCUCACCGGCGGCACAGACGGGCUCAUCUACGUGUGGGAUAUGGAGUCUGGCCGUCCGGUCUGUGAGCUGCGUGGGCACACAGGCGCCAUCACUGCACUGUUCGUGGUACCGGUUCCGUCCAGCAUCCCGGUGGUGCGGUCGAAGCGCGCCCCUGCCAAUCCCGCCUCGUUCGGCUCCUCCAACGCAUUGCCGCCAGCAUCGGAGAAGAAAGAUGUACUUGUCUACGCGGACGCCGAAGACGGCGGCAGUGGCGACGGUGCAAGCUGCCUUGUAUCGUGCUCCGAAGACGGCACGUUGAAGGUGUGGCUGCUGCCUGAUCUGCAGGACGCCGCCGCGGAGGCGGACUUGAUGGAGAAAGAGCAGCAAGAAGAGCAGCAGCGCAAGGACUCAGAGCGGUCCUCCAGCAAACAGCGUCGUAGCGUCUGCAUUGUCUUCCAAGAGCUGGAUCCGGCCAGGCUGAUGGCCGAGGAGGUGAUGGAGGAAACUGUGGGAGUGGCAGCCGCUGCCGAGAGCGACGCCGACGGUGCUGCUGUUGUCGCUGCCGCCACGGAUGCCGCUGGAGAAGAGGCGGCUGUCGACGCUGCCAGCUCUCCGACGGCCGCAAGCAGCCCGCCGCAAUCUGAGGUCUUCGACGCCAAGCUGCGUUUCCUUCAGCAGCAGGCAAAGGGAACAGCAUGGAAGUCUGCCCUCAAGGCGCCGGAGCGCCGCCCCGUCCCGUUCCAGAGCGCCCUCGGCACGGUGGAGUUGCCGCACACUCCCUUAUCAUGCUCCGGUGCGUCAUCUGGCUUGGAUGGAGAUGAAGGUGGCUCUGCGUCGCUGGUCUUCAUCGGCGCGGCGCAGGGCCACGUGUACGGCCUUAAGGACCGCCUGCUUGUGAAGGAGGUAUGCCGGCACACUGCACACAACUUCCAGAAAGUGCAGCAGGCGGUGCGCAGUGUGCAGCGGACGCUGAAGGACGGCGUGAAGGUGUACACCAAGGCCGCUGCAGCCACGAUGAAAGCGAUGGAGGCAAAGGAGCUGAAGGUGGCGGCGAAGGCGCGCCAGGCUCAGCGGGCAAAGGAGAAGGCUGCCAAGCAAAAGGCGGCCGAAGAACGCCGUGCGGCCCGACGCACCGCUGCGGCCGAGGAGCGCUCGGACAACGAAGACUACGACGAUGAGGACGAAGCGGAGGAGGAGGCGUCUGAGGAGGAGUCGGACAUAGACGAGGAGGCGGAGGAGGAGGAGGCGGAGGAGGAGGAGGCGGAGAGGCCCGGGGACGCCGGCGAGGCCGCAGACGGGGAGGACCAUGGUGCCGAGGGUACGGCAUUCGCCGCCGCCGCGGAGCCCAGGCCACCUCGUCGACCGGCUUCGUGGAAGAAGCUGACGGAGGAGCAGCGCGCGUCCCUCGAGGCGUUCUUCGCGGCCCAGGAGAAGGAGCGCGAUGAGCGCAUCACGGCGCUGCAGAAGGCGGUGGAGGCGCACCUGUCGCAAUUGCAGCCGCUCGCCAAGACACCGUACCAUCGCUCUCGUGACCAGUUCGCGAACCUGCCGUACACCACGACGGGCUGCGUGCGUGGCGGAUCGGCAGUUGCGUCGCUAGCGUCGGCCUCUCUGGUGCCGGGAUACGACAAGGUCUAUGCCACCCAGUCCAACUCCGUCGCUUCCGUUGCCGUGCAGUUUGGUAUAAAAAAGCUAUGAGGCAGGCGAGGCUGCGGUCUACGCGGCAGCCUCAUCGGCGCCGUGGCGGCGUGUUGUCCGCACCCCAGUCCACGAUCUCACUCUUUUCUUUAAAGUGUUCGCAUUCCCCCCCCCCCCCCCACCGUGCCCGGCCCCUUUCACUUGCUGUUGUGGUUGUGGUUUGCACCAGCGAUGAUGGCGGUGGCGCUGCGGAGGGCACGGCUGGUGUGUGCGCGUGUGUGUGCCUUCGUUCGUCGUGUACAUGUAUGGGCUUUGCUCCGUUGAUGUUUUCCUCCUUUCCCUCGUCUUGAUGUACAUAGACGCCUACGCGUGGGUGAUGAUGAUGUGUGUGUAAGGGUGCGCGUUGCUGUGGCUUGUCCUCCUCAACUCGCGCAACACACCCACGCACACAGAGGCGCAAUCUCUCUCUGUCCUUCUUUGCUGGUGUCUAUUAGCGCUCACCGCGCCGCCCCGCGCCGCGCCCUGUUCCAGCACGUUGAUGCGCUACUCUUCUCUUUCCUCGCCUUCGCCUGCCCAUGUGCGAGCCGCUUGGCUCAAGCGUAGUGAAGGGCACAUG